rnacentral:tRNA from 1 species
UUGGGGUAUCGCCAAGCGGUAAGGCACCGGUUUUUGAUACCGGCAUUCCCCUGGUUCGAAUCCGGUACCCCCAGCCA